rnacentral:misc_RNA from 1 species
AAACCAAACAAAUCAAAGGCUUCGAGUUCGAAAAUAUAUGAU